CUCGUCUUAAUCAAGGAAUCCUGACUUAACCUUAUUCUUUCUCACAGACACAGUUCAAUGCUGCAAUGGAGCCUGUGGUGAGCACUGAUUCAAUAGGUGGUUUGCCUCCUUAGACGCAGAAUCACAGGACUAGAAGGAGUGAAAACAACACUUUAUCUCUACAUUGGCUUCAGGGAGGACAGUGCCCAAACCACCUCAAGUACAGAAUAAUUUACUCUCAUUUAGAAGAUCUCCAGACAGAGCUCGAAUGGCUCCCUUGGCAACAAAUUUUAGUUUUAACAAUCUUUGUAGCUUUAUCCUUCCCUCCAGAUAAUGCCAUAACUGUGUACUCUAGAUUAAACGUUUUCUCCUUUUCUGCCCACAGUGCUUUUGAAGCCAAACAUGAUUUCACAUAUAGUGUUGGGUCAUCAUUAAGUCACCUUUCAGAAGUCCCUCUAAAUUAAGGAGUCCUCAUCCUUUCCUUAAAUUUUUCAUGUGUCCUGACCUAUGAGAAUCUGUUAUACGCAUGUUUAAUUUCUAUGGAAUACCUCAUCAUACAACUUGAAAUUCUGAUUGACUAGUGGUUUUUUUCCUGCAUAAGUGCUACUUCAUCUAUGCCUCAGUAACAAACAACAACAAUCACUUAAUGGAAAUGGUGGCAGGCAGAAUUCUAAGAUAGCUGCCAGAUUCCUGCCGCCCCUGGUGUGCAUUCCUUGAUAAUCACUCUCCUUUGAGUGCAGGCAGACCUGUGUGUAUGAUACCACUGCUAUGAUUACAUUGCUCAUCAGGCGACUGUGAGCUAGCCAAAAUGGAGAAUAUUCUGGUGGGUCUGACCUAGCCAGGUGAGCCCGUUUCUGAGUCAUAGAGAUUGAAAGUGUGAGAGGGAUUUGAUGUGAGGGGGAAUUCUCUGUUGCUGGUUUUGAGUAUAAAAGGGGCCAUAUAAUAAAGACUUGAGAGUGGUCACUAGUUGCUGAGAUCCAUCCCUAAUUGAAGCUAGCAAGAAACACUUCUACCAACAACUUGAAGGAAUUUGGAAAAGAAUCCUUCCCUAGUCAAGUCUCUAGAGGGGAAUGCAGCUAACUGACACCUUGAUUUCAGCCUCGUGAGACCCUGAACAGAGAUAUCAACCACUCAGUUGCCUGGACCUCUGACAGAAAUGAAAGAUAAUAAAUGUCUGUUGUUUUAAGCCACUAAGUUUAUGGAAAUUUGUUACACAGCAAUGGAAAACCAAUAUAGGCCCCUAUCCAUGAGUUACAUUGUAGUAAACACCUUUCCUACAUUAUAGAUAUCUCAUCUAACUCCUACAGCAACCCUUGAGGUAAUCACUGUGUCCAUUGUCAGAGCAAGAAAACUGAAGCUCGGCUUCAUAAACAGAAGCAGCAAGGAUUGAUUCCUUAAAUACUGUGAAUUCCACUCUCACUUUAUUUGAAUUUGUGACAGUGAAAUUCACAGUAUUCUUUAAACAUUUUACCCCCAAGCGAUGCUCUUUCCUCUGAAUUGCUUUGCCUGUCCUAAUAAUUUUAUUUAUACAGGCUGAUGCUGGUGACUUGGGAAUAGUAUUUUUAUCCAAACCAUUUGGCUUCUUAUAGGUAUGAGCCACUGAGGGAGCUAUUUUUUAUUUAAUUGUGCUUUGGAAAAAUCAAACGUAGCCUUGAGUUUUAAAAUUAUUAAGCUUACACUUUUUCACAAAAUAGAAAUGGAGUAAUAUAGCUCUGUCCUUCCGUUUUUUAAAGCCAAAAAAUGUAAGAAUGGAAUGUACUGGCUCACUGCUCCCACGGUGUCCUUACCAGCACAACUUACCCCAUCCCUCCCUAGCCCACUCUUGAGGAUACUUUCUUGCCACUGUCAGGCUUACUCCUGCCUCCUAGACUGAGGAAAGAAAAGCCUCCUGGUUUGGAGCUCAUAAUCAAGUCAGCCUUGCUGCAGGGCUCAUUUUAAGCCAGUAUCCUGGACCAGAUAAGGAAGCUGAAGCUUUGAGAAUUUAAUUUGCUCAAGGGGAGGCCAGGACAAGAAAUAAUGAAGAGUCCGAUGUGGCAGGAAUGUAGGAAACAAGUCAAUGAUGGAAGAUAAAUAUGGAGACGUGAUGAAGGCAAAAUUCUGAAGGGUCUUAGAGCCCAUUAUAAGACGUUUGGUUUUUAUGAAUAUUUCACUGAUUGCCUUGCCCGCUUCUCAAAGGCCCACUUCUCUGUGGAAUGAUGCAGUUGCUAAGAAGAGCUGUUAAUGUCAUGACCUCAAUGAAUAAAAAAGACUUCCUUUUCUCCAUGCCCACUCAAGUAAAAGGCUUCUCUCUGAACUCCUGCUAAUUUUUCAUCAGCAAAGGUGCACAGCCUUUUGGAAGUGAAAUGAUUACUAGUGAAGAAAAAGAAAGAACCUAACACUUAUUUUACAAGCCUCCCAGUGACCACUCUUCAGACAAAACUUCUUAUAAUAGCUUCCUUCCCUGAAUCUUUUGCGAAACAUCAAAUCACAAAGAGAUCUUAUUGUGAGUAUUACCUAAAAUUUUUUCCUGUCUUAUGUAGCAAAGAGGGAAGUCACUGAGUCAGCUUAGAUAUGUGUAUGUGUUCUAAAAAAAAUGAAUGUAUCCAUGUGACUUUUUUUUCUUUUUUUUUUUUUUUUGAGAUGGAGUUUUGCUCUGUCACCCAGGCUGGAGUGCAGUGGCGUGAUCUCUGCUCACUGCAACCUCCACCUCCUGGGUUCAAGUGAUUCUCCUGCCUCAGCUUCCCGAGUAGCCUGCCACCACACGUGGUUAAUUUUGUAUUUUUAGUAGAAAUGGGUUUUCACCAUGUUAGCCAGGCUCGUCUCAAAUUUCUAACCUUCAGUGAUCUGCCUACCUUGGCCUCCCAAAGAGCUGGGAUUACAGGAAUGAGCCACCGCACCUGGCCCCAUGUGACUUUAAUAUUUUACUGCAUAUCUUCCUCGGCAAAUAACUAAAUCCUGUCAUGUGGGAGGGAGUUUGGAAAUAGUGCUUAGGAACCACCCACUAUCUCAUUUGUGAAGUCCGUUGCCACUUGCGGGGGGCGCCAGGCAAUGACAUCAACAGACUUAUCUGGUUAUGUCUUUGAGCCUUGGAUCCUUGUAAUUGUUUUGCUUGAUAAAGCUAUCUUUUGUUAUAAAAGACUUUGCCAAAAAAAAGUCUUUGGCUUAAGGCAUUUAAAUAAUGCAAGCUUCAAAGUUAGUGAACAGAUUAUGAAAAAUGUCUGAAUAGUAAUUUGGAAGGCAAUUUGCACAUAUAUUUCUAUCUGGAAGAAUAAUAGUUUGUAAACGAAAUACAUCUUAGGCCAUAAUUAUAAGUGUCAGAACAUGAAAGGAUUGGUGAAUUGGAGAAACAGAAAUUAAAAAUAAAACUUAAAAAAAUAAGUCAGAAUAUCAUAAUGGUACAAAAUAAAUGAGACAAUAGAAACAUAGACAUUUCCCUAAUUCAUAAUGUAGUUAUUUGUUCUGGAGAUUUGUUCAUUAUUGUAAAAACUAGCUACAUUUAAUCGUUUUAAUUGUUGUUAUGAAAAUACUUUGCUUCAUUUAUUUUAAAUAUAUCCUACUAAAAAAAGAGUAUAUAUAAAAACACAUGUACAAUUUAGAACAUAACGUUAAAACAAACACUUACGUAUUUUCCAACCAGCAAAAGGAAAAGAACCUUAAUGGUGAUCUUGUGUAUUUGUGUCCAGAUGCGUUUUUCUCCCUUUACCUGGGGUAACAAUCAUUGCAUAUUUUGUGUUUAUCAAUUCUUUCCUUUAGAAAUGCUUAUCCAUUUGUGUAUUUAUGCCUAAACAAUAGAUGGUUUCAUUUCGCUUGUUUUGAGCUUUAUUAUAUUUGUUUGUAGUCACCAUGGAUGUAACCUUUUUCCACGCAAAAUUAGCUUUCUAAGAAUCAUCCAUGUUGGUGGAUAUAGCUCUGUGAUAUUCCAUCAUGUGAUACUGCAAGUUAUAACUCUAGUUAUAUAUCUAUUUUCCAAUCAAUGAAUAUUUACAUUGAUCCAAAUUUUCAUUAUUAUGCACAGUCUGGCAAGGAAGACUCAUAUAUGACUCCUGGUACAUGGGUACAAGGAUUCUAUAGGCUAUAUACCUAAUCGUGGAAUUGUUGAGUCUCAGAGUAUUCAAAUGUUCAACUUGACACAUUAUCAUGAAACUGUUCUCCAGAGUGGCUUUCCAAUUUACUCUUCCACCAAAAAUGUGUUCCUAUUGAUCUACAUCUUCUCUAGAACAUCUUAUUUUAGGUAAUUUAAUUUUUUCAUUGUUAUGAAAUGGUAUCUCACUGUCUUAUGCAUUUCUCUGGUUAAUAAUGAGAUUGGUCAUAAAUUCAUAUGUUCAUUGUGAAAUGUCUAUUCUUUUGUUGCCCAUUUCAUCUAUUGGGAUGGCUAUCUUCUAACCGAUUUUACAUAGUUCUAGUGGUUGUUUAUGCAUUCUGGAAACCGGUUCUUUAUUAAUCAUAGGUGUGGCAUUAUGGUUCACAUUGUUACUCUCUUGCUAUACUGUGAUGAACAGAAGUUUUUCAUUUUCAUGAAGUAGACUUAUCAACAUUUUCUUAUGUUUUAGAUGUUUAUUUAGAAACCCUUCUCUACAAACAUUCUAAUAUUUUCUUUUAAAAGUUUUGAAGUUUUGACUUUUACAUUUAAAUUAUUAAUCAAAUUAGAAUUAUCUUCCAUAUACAUGUGAGUCCUCAAUUCUUGCUCCAUUAAACAAUUUAUCCUUCCUCGCAUCAGUAUCUUCCCACCUUAAUUGCUAUUGGAUUAUAAUAACUCUUGAUAUUUGGUGUGCCAAAUUCCCCCAACAUAUUAAUCCUUUCGGAUAUUCUAUUCUCAGCCCUUUAUUUUUCCAUAUGAAACUCAGAAUCAUGAAGUUUAUUUAAAAUUCUGCUAGGAUUUUGAUAAAAAUUUCCAUAAAAAACUUUUCAGUUUGACAUUGUUAGGACUGAGUUUUCUUAUCCAUGAAUGUGAAAUAUCUGUGUUAUUUUAUCUGCAAAAUAAAGAUAAAGAAAUAUCUUUAUUAUUGUUUAAUGUUUUUAUGAAAAGUUCAUGAUUUUUUAUCUAGAGGUAUCACACAUCUUUUUUUAGAUAUAUUCUAGGAUACUUUUUAGUUUUGUUGCUUUUGUAAGUGUUGUCAUGUUGGGAGUCUCUGAGAACCUCCUCAAGCUUGAUGACCCACUAGAAGGACUCUCAGGACUUAGAAGUGGUUAUAUUGAUGGUCACAGUUUAUUAUAACAAAAAGACACAGAUAACAAUAAACAAAGAGAAAAGGCACAUGGGGUGAAGUUCAGGAGAAAUAAGGCACAAGCCUUCAGGUAUUCCCCUCCCAGGAGUAAAUAUGCUAACUGAAGCACACAAAAAAAGAAAAGAUAAAUGCAAAAAAGAGCAUAAAAUAUAUAUGACAUAGUUUUAAAAAUGUGUAACAUGCAUGUAAUUGAAGUAUCAGAAAGAAUGGAGACAAGGAAUAGGGGAAGAAGGAAUAUUUGAAGAGAUAAUAACCAAAAACUUUCUAAAACUAACCCACAAAAUCAAGAAAUUCUGAAGAAACUAGAAAAGAUACAUGCAAAAUAAAUCCCAUUUUGGCUCAUAGUGAACUCCUGAAAGCCAAGGACAAGGACCAAUUACUUAAAGCACCCAAAAAAAAACAACAUUGCUUUCAUAAUAGCAAUAAAAGACUAAUAACUGAAUUUUCUACACAAAUGAUGGAAGCUGGAAGAUAUAAAGAUCAUAAGGAUAUAUUCUAUUCCUGGAAUUGAUGUGCCUUGGUCAUAAUGUCUUUUUUAAAAUACAAAGUUGUAAUCAGGUUUCUAAAUAGUUUAAGAUUUUUGCAUCUAAUUGUUUGGAAAGUUCCCCCUUUUUUAUACUCAUAUCUGCAUUAGCUAUCAAGGCUAAAAAUGACUGCUUUAAAAGAGUUAAGGAAAGUUUCCUCUUUGUUAUACCUAUGAAAAAGUUUAUAUACAAUUAAAAUUUGAUGAUAACAUUUGUUAUAUUUUCUUAUAGAACUAUUUGUAUUUGGUGUUCUAUUUAUGAGGAGGCUUUUAAAAUAUUGAUUUGACUUCUUUAGUAGUUGUAGGGCACUGAAGUUUUCUGGUACUCUAACUGCAGCCCACGUAACUUAUCUUAUAUUCUCAUUAUCAUUUAGUUCUAAGUAUUUUUUUACUUUCUAUUAUAAAGUAUUCUUUGACCUAGGAGGUAUUUAGAAGUUUGCUUUUAAACUGUCAAAUGUAUGAAAUUGUCUUAAUUUUCCUUUUAUUACUAAUAGCUACAUUAUUUUCCUUCUUGUGAGAGAAGGUAGUCUGUGGUACUUUUGGAAAUAUUUAAAGACUUUUUGGCCUAGUAUGUGAUAAAUUUGUGAAAAUGUUCCUUGCAUGUCAAAAAGAAUUAUCCAGAAUUAUCCAAUAAUUGGAUAAAUGUUCUUAAUAUGUUUAUUAGGACAUUCAUGUUCAUUGUGUUUACAAUUUCUAUAACAUUGCUAGUUUUGAUCUGCUUUUCAUGUCAAUACCUGAGAUAGGUCUGUUUAAAUUUCUUACUAUAAUGGUAGAUUUGUUACAAUUUCAUUGUAGCCUGUACAUUUUUGCUUUAUAUAUGCUGAAUAAAUGUUAAUAUGUGCCCAUAUAAGCUUAAACAUUAUAAUUACUUUAUCUUCCUGGAAAAUUGUAAUUUUCAUCAAUAUGUGCUCACCCCCUUUUUAUCUGGUAACUAUUUUGACCUU
rnacentral:lncRNA from 10 species